ensembl:lncRNA
GUAGUGUGUGUGAGAGGUAAAAUUUCAGUAGUGUGUGUGAGAGCGUUUCAGUAGUGUGUGUGAGAGCGUUUCAGUAGUGUGUGUGAGAGAUAAAAUUUCAGUAGUGUGUGUGAGAGCGUUUCAGUAGUGUGUGUGAGAGCGUUUCAGUAGUGUGUGUGAGAGGUAAAAUUUCAGUAGUGUGUGUGAGAGCGUUUCAGUAGUGUGUGUGAGAGGUAAAAUUUCAGUAGUGUGUGUGAGAGCGUUUCAGUUGUGUGUGUGAGAGGUAAAAUUUCAGUAGUGUGUGUGAGAGCGUUUCAGUAGUGUGUGUGAGAGCGUUUCAGUUGUGUGUGUGAGAGCGUUUCAGUAGUGUGUGUGAGAGCGUUUCAGUAGUGUGUGUGAGAGCGUUUCAGUUGUGUGUGUGAGAGCGUUUCAGUAGUGUGUGUGAGAGGUAAAAUUUCAGUAGUGUGUGUGAGAGGUAAAAUUUCAGUAGUGUGUGUGAGAGCGUUUCAGUAUAGUGUGUGAGAGGUAAAAUUUCAGUAGUGUGUGUGAGAGC